UAGUCCACGCCGUAAACGAUGUCUACUAGCCGUUGGGGUACUUGAGACCUUAGUGGCGCAGCUAACGCACUAAGUAGACCGCCUGGGGAGUACGGCCGCAAGGUUAAAACUCAAAUGAAUUGACGGGGGCCCGCACAAGCGGUGGAGCAUGUGGUUUAAUUCGAUGCAACGCGAAGAACCUUACCAGGUCUUGACAUCCAGAGAACUUUCCAGAGAUGGAUUGGUGCCUUCGGGAACUCUGUGACAGGUGCUGCAUGGCUGUCGUCAGCUCGUGUCGUGAGAUGUUGGGUUAAGUCCCGUAACGAGCGCAACCCCUAUCUUUAGUUGCCAGCACAUAAUGGUGGGGACUCUAAAGAGACUGCCAGCGCAAGCUGUGAGGAAGGAGGGGACGACGUCAAGUCAUCAUGGCCCUUACGCCUAGGGCUACACACGUGCUACAAUGGUGCAUACAGAGAGUCGCGAUCCGGCAACGGUCAGCCAAUCUCACAAAGUG
rnacentral:rRNA from 1 species